rnacentral:lncRNA from 1 species
AAUUUUUAGAUUAAGGGAAUACUACUCUCAACAAGUAGAAUUUUACAAGCCUAAGAUAAUUUAAGUAACCAUGUAAUUAGUGAAAAGGACAAUAAAGCAUAGAAAACAAUAUGGAAAUGUAGGAAAAAGGAAUUCCUUCAUAUUUUAACUUAGUGGACAGGAAAUUCUCGAAUAUUGUUUCAAGUUUAAUUAUCACUCAGUGACAUAGCUCAGGAGAUGAUUUAUAUGAACCUGCUGUGAGGACCUAAUAUUUAGGACAAAAUGAGUUUAAUAUUUUACAUGAGAUAAAGAGCCAAUGAAAUAAAAUGCUGAUUCUGGAAUGUUAUCUCCUGGGAAUUCUCUUAGCUAAGAAUUUUUUUCAUUAAAAGAUCAAUAUUUAUUCAAUAACCUGUCAGUUAAGAUUAAGGUAACUACUUAUCUUCUACCAUUAACAGCUAACCAAAACCAUACAUAUUUGAACAGUGGCGUUACAUAUUUGAUCAAAAAUGCAUUUUCAUCGUGGUUAAAUCAUUAUUUUUCUUUUCAUCAUGUCUAUCAUGUAACUAAAUUCAAGUUUGAUUGGGUAGCAUGAUAGUGUUACGGUACAGAAAUAGAGAAAAUCACUCAGUUAAGGACCAAGGUAAGCCUUAAUGAUUUACUUAAAGCAGUUGAAUACUAAAAAUAGUAACUGAAAAAAAUAAGUUAAAGAUGUUUAAGAGAAAUGAUAUUAUUUUGUAUGCCUGAGAUUAUUAAAUAUACUCCUCCCAGGAGAACUAUUUCUAUAAAUCCUAUUUUUACCUCUAUUGUGACAAGAGAUCUGAGUUGCUCUUGAUAAAUUUAUAUGGAAAUGUUUUCAUCUCAAGCCUAUGAUAAUUUUUGAUGUAGACCGUGAGACCUUUUCCAAAUAGUGAGAGAGUUUCUGAUUUUAUCAGAGAGUAAACGUAAACCAAUGUCUUCUGACAUCUUGUUGAGUUGCAUCUUCUGUGUAGAGAAUUCCCGACUUGCUUUACAUAGGACUGAGUUGUAGUCAUUCAACCUCAUGAGAUUUUUGUUUCCUGAAAAUAAUUUAUUGAGCAGUGAUGCAAUUUACAGGUGAGUGGAAAUUUAUCAAGGUUAAAUUAAGUUUCAAUGUUGCAAAGUUAACAUGUGAGGUGGUUAGAUUUCCUGAGGCUUUUUCCAAAUAGCUUCUUGUGUGCUUCAUCUGAAUACUAAGAAAGGAAAUAUAUUUCCAUGUUUUGCUGAGAAUUUUGUGCACCCCAACUAACUCUUAUCUCCAAGAUUAUGUAAAACAACAAAAUACUAUAUUCUAUAGAAAUAUUCAUAUAAAACGUUUCAUAGGUAGGUUUCAUCAAGAUUGGCUGUUUUUCUUGUAAAGUCGUUUAAGCUUUGCAUGUAAAGAAUGCAGUAAUAUCAAUGUGCAGUGUUCGCUGCAUAAAGGAGAAGCAGGUAAAACUCCAAUAUGUAAAAUAUUUGCAUUUAUAGCUUCUUCCUUAAACAAAGAAGUGCAACACCCAGGUUGUCAACAUUAGCUGUUAUUGACCCAACAGAGCAAUGACUGGGUUCACUUUCAAACAUGGAGAAGUGACAGAACACUGUGAAUUCAGAAUCAAGAUAAGUCAACGAGAAAAGAACUGCCUCCCAUCAUAAAUGUGAUGUUCCCUCUAACUCCUUUACAAGUAGAUAGUCACCAUGUAUACUGGUAGAAACUGCUAAUGUUCUUCUUGCAGAGCCUCAGGCAAUUUAAAUCCAUCAUAGCUCAUCUUUUGGGGUUAUCUUUAAGUCAUUGUUCUCAAUGUAACCUUUUAAGUGAAGUGUGUGAUUUAAUACUUAGCCAUUGUUUAAAUCAGUGUCGUUGAACUCUACAUUAUAGAAAAGAAACUGAAAUCUUGAAAUUUGUGUUUCUGACUUUUGUACGGUGACCAGUCAUUUGUGAACUUUGGCAUCUUAUAAUGAUAUUACUUAGAACAGCUGUUUCUGCAAACCCUCUGAAAGAUGUUUGCACAUUGUGUUUUAGCAUUUUUACUCUGUCUUCUUUAGAGUGUAUGAACACAUUUGUCAGGAUCAGAUGAAUUAUGUAACAAUGAAACCUCAAAGCUGUUAUGAAGGGUAGUUCAUAAUUCCUUUUGUAAAAGAAAUGGAAAAGCACUUGAAAUAUAAUUUUACUGUUUCAUAUGUAUUUUAAAAAAGAAAUAAAGUAAUUAUAAAU